rnacentral:rRNA from 1 species
CGCGUAGGCGGCCUGCUAAGUCAGACGUGAAAUCCCUCGGCUCAACCGGGGAACUGCGUCUGAUACUGGCGGGCUUGAAUUCGGGAGAGGGAUGCGGAAUUCCAGGUGUAGCGGUGAAAUGCGUAGAUAUCUGGAGGAACACCGGUGGCGAAGGCGGCAUCCUGGACCGAGAUUGACGCUGAGGCGCGAAAGCCAGGGAGCAAACG